rnacentral:tRNA from 1 species
GAGGAUAUAGCUCAGUGGCAGAGCACAUGCUUAGCAAGCACAAGGUCCUGGGUUCAAUCCCCAGCACCUCCA